GACGAACGCUGGCGGCGUGCUUAACACAUGCAAGUCGAACGGUGAAGCGCUUUCCUUUUUGGUUGGUGUGGAUGAGUGGCGAACGGGUGAGUAACACGUGAGUAACCUGCCCCCUUCUUCUGGAUAACCGCAUGAAAGUGUGGCUAAUACGGGAUAUUCUGCGCCUGCUGCAUGGUGGGUGUGGGAAAGAUUGUGCCUUUGGGUGUUUUCGGUGGGGGAUGGGCUCGCGGCCUAUCAGCUUGUUGGUGGGGUGAUGGCCUACCAAGGCGGUGACGGGUAGCCGGCCUGAGAGGGUGGACGGUCACACUGGGACUGAGACACGGCCCAGACUCCUACGGGAGGCAGCAGUGGGGAAUAUUGCACAGUGGGCGCAAGCCUGAUGCAGCGACGCCGCGUGAGGGAGGGAGGCCUUCGGGUUGUGAGCCUCUUUCGCCAGUGAAGCAGGCCUGCUCCUUGUGGGUGGGUUGACGGUAGCUGGAUAAGAAGCGCCGGCUAACUACGUG
rnacentral:rRNA from 1 species